rnacentral:rRNA from 1 species
UACGGAGGGUGCAAGCGUUAAUCGGAAUUACUGGGCGUAAAGCGCACGCAGGUGGCUGAGAAAGUCGAUUGUGAAAGCCCGGAGCUCAACUCCGGAACUGCCAUUGAAACUGUUUAGCUUGAGGACGAGAGAGGUGAGUGGAAUUCCGAGUGUAGAGGUGAAAAUUCGUAGAUAUUCGGAGGAACACCAGUGGCGAAGGCGGCUCACUGGUCCAUUACUGACGCUGAGGUGCGAAA